UACGUAGGGGGCAAGCGUUGUCCGGAAUUAUUGGGCGUAAAGCGCGCGCAGGCGGUCGUUUAAGUCUGGUGUUUAAUCCCAGGGCUCAACCCUGGUACGCACUGGAAACUGGGCGACUGGAGUGCAGAAGAGGAGAGUGGAAUUCCACGUGUAGCGGUGAAAUGCGUAGAGAUGUGGAGGAACACCAGUGGCGAAGGCGACUCUCUGGUCUGUAACUGACGCUGAGGCGCGAAAGCGUGGGGAGCAAACAGG
rnacentral:rRNA from 1 species